UUUCUUUUUUAUUCAUUAAUCAGAAGGAUUAUGACACAUUCAUAGUUAGAAGUCUGCCUCUUGCCAGUUUGAAGUGAUUAUGCGUCAUUUCACUCAUUUGUUGAUGAAACAUCAAAGACCUUGGACUGAUAGCUAUAACAUGUGCAUACAUUUGCAUUAUUAUGAAUUUGUUUUCAAUAACAAUACAAAAUCUAGAUGUUAUCAGGCCUGGGAUUUAGUUGUUAGUUCGAAAUAUACUGUUAUUAAAACUGGUAUCAGUUUGUGACUAGCCUCUGGACAGAUACAAAUGAAUGGUGUUGAAGCUUUAAAAUAGAAGUCAUCAUACAUGUAUUAUAACACUUGGCAAGCUUCUUGAUCUUGAAAGUGCAACAGAGUUGAUUGACAGUAUUUUCGUCAUUGGAAUUUUCUGGGAUCAAAUGGUACAUUUAAGAGCUCCCGAUUAAAUCUGGAACUAUU
rnacentral:misc_RNA from 1 species